rnacentral:rRNA from 1 species
CCGUAGGUGAACCUGCGGAAGGAUCAUUAAUGAAUUUUAUUAAUGAGGAGUUGAGUUGUUGCUGGCCUUUUCUACCUUAAUUUGGCAGGAGGGGGCAUGUGCACACCUCCCCUUUCAUCCAUCACACCCCCGGUGCACUGGUGAGACAGCAAUAGUUGGUGGAUUUAAUUCCAUCCAUUUGCUGUCUACUUAAUUUACACACACUCUACUUAAUUUAAACUGAAUGUAAUUGAUGUAACGCAUCUAAUACUAAGUUUCAACAACGGAUCUCUUGGCUCUCGCAUCGAUGAAGAACGCAGCGAAAUGCGAUAAGUAAUGUGAAUUGCAGAAUUCAGUGAAUCAUCGAAUCUUUGAACGCACCUUGCGCUCCUUGGUAUUCCUUGGAGCAUGCCUGUUUGAGUAUCAUGAAAUCUUCAAAGUAAACCUUUUGUUAAUUCAAUUGGUCUUUUUUACUUUGGUUUUGGAGGAUCUUAUUGCAGCUUCACACCUGCUCCUCUUUGUGCAUUAGCUGGAUCUCAGUGUUAUGCUUGGUUCCACUCGGCGUGAUAAGUUAUCUAUCGCUGAGGACACCCGUAAAAAAGGUGGCCAAGGUAAAUGCAGAUGAACCGCUUCUAAUAGUCCAUUGACUUGGACAAUAUUCUAUUUAUGAUCUGAUCUCAAAUCAGGUAGGACUACCCGCUGAACUUAAGCAUAUCAAUAAGCGGAGGA